rnacentral:rRNA from 1 species
AGCGAACGCUGGCGGCAGGCCUAACACAUGCAAGUCGAACGAACUCUUCGGAGUUAGUGGCGGACGGGUGAGUAACACGUGGGAACGUGCCUUUAGGUUCGGAAUAACUCAGGGAAACUUGUGCUAAUACCGAAUGUGCCCUUCGGGGGAAAGAUUUAUCGCCCUUAGAGCGGCCCGCGUCUGAUUAGCUAGUUGGUGAGGUAAAGGCUCACCAAGGCGACGAUCAGUAGCUGGUCUGAGAGGAUGAUCAGCCACAUUGGGACUGAGACACGGCCCAAACUCCUACGGGAGGCAGCAGUGGGGAAUCUUGCGCAAUGGGCGAAAGCCUGACGCAGCCAUGCCGCGUGAAUGAUGAAGGUCUUAGGAUUGUAAAAUUCUUUCACCGGGGACGAUAAUGACGGUACCCGGAGAAGAAGCCCCGGCUAACUACGUGCCAGCCGCCGCGGUAA